GGAAAGAAGGAAGAAAAGAAGAAAAGAAAGAAAACAAAGAACCAGUAUCCUAUUGUUUCUGUUUCUCUGAAGAACCCCAAUGAACACAGAUUGUGAUCCCUCAUUAGAAUCUAAGUACCAGGAGAACAGAAACCUCGUCUUUCAUGAUCAUAAUCCUAUAAACAACAAAAAAAAUUAACACCUGGGUCGUUAGCUCAGAGGAAUCCAAGAUGGAAAUGGCCAGAGGAUGGAACAGGUUGUUUUCCCGGAUGAAGCCUCCAGGUACGCAUGGACCAUUCCUCCAGGAUAGAGGCUGGUAAGUAGGAACCAUUCCUCCACAGUGUAGCCAGGUAAGCAGCAAGCAUUCCUUCAGGAUGCAGCCAGGUAAGUAUGAAACAUUCCUUCAGGAGGCAGCUAGGUAAACAUGGAUCAUUUCUUCAGGAUGGAGCCAGAUAAAUGUGAACCAUGUCUUCAGGAUACAGCCAGGGAACUGUGGCCCAUUCCUUCAGUGUAAAGCCGGGGAAGCGAGGACCAUUGCUUCAGGAUGGAGCCAGGUAAGCACAGACCAUUCCCUCAGGAUGGAGAGGAUGGAGCCAAGUAAGCACAGACCAUUCCUUCAGGAUGCAGCCAAGUAACUGUGGAUCAUUUCUUCAGGAUGGAGCCAGGUAAGCAUGAACAUUUAUUCUGAAUGGAGCAAGGUAAGCAUGAACCAUUUCUUCUGGAUGGAGCCAGCUAAGCAUGGACCAUUCCCUUAGGAUAAAGCCAGGUAAGCUUGGACCAUUUUCUCAGAAUGCAGCCAGGUAACCAAGGACCAUUCUUCCAGGAUACAGCCAGGUAAGUGUGGACCAUUCCUUCAGGAUGCAGCCAGGUAAGCAUGGAUCAAUCCUUCAGGAUGCAGCCAGGUAAGCAUGGAUCAAUCCUUCAGGAUGCAGCCAGGUAAGCAUGCAUCAAUCCUUCAGGAUGCAGCCAGGAAAACAUGGAACAUUCCUUCAGAUGGAGCAAGGUAAGCAUGGACCAUUUCUUCAAGAUAAAGCCAGGUAAGCAUGGAUCAUUCCUUCCAAAUGGAGCCAGGUAAGCACAGGCCGUUCAUUCAGGGUGGAGCGAGGUAAGUGUGGGCCAUUCCUUUAGAAUACAUACAGGUAAAUAUGAGCCAUUAUUUCAGGAGGGAGCCAGAUAAACAUAGAACAUUCCUUCAGGAUGCAACCAGGUAAGCAUGAACCAUUUGUUCAGGAUGCAGCCAGGUAAGUAUGAACAUUGCUUCAGGAUGGAGCCAGGUAAACACAGGACAUUCCUUCAGAAUAGAGCCAGGUAAGCAUGGACCAUUCCUUCUGGAUGCAGCCAGGUAAACAUAAACCAAUUUUUCAGGAUGGAGCCAGGUAACCCUGGACCAUUUCUUCAGGAUUCAGACAGAUAAGCAUGAACCAUUCCUUCAGGAUGCAGCUAUAAAAGUAUGGACCAUUCCCUCAGAAUGGAGCCAGGAUGCCGCCAGAGUAGCGUGGAUCAUUCUUUCAGGAUGCAGCCAUGUACGCGUGGAUCAUUCCUUCAAAAUGGAGCCAGAAUACAGCCAGGUAAGCAUGGACCGUUUCUUCAGGAUGGACCCAGGGAAGCAUGGACCAUUCCUUCAGGAUGGAGCAAGGUGCACAUGAACCAUUCCUUCAGAAUGCAACCAGGUCAGAAUGAACCAUUAUUUCAGGAUAAAGCCAGGUAAGCAUGGACCAUUUCUUCAUGAAGCAGCCAGGUAAGCACAGACUUUUCCUUCGGGAUACAGCCAGGUAAGUGUGAACAAUUCCUUUAAGUUGGAGUUAGAUAAGCAUUAACAGUAUUUUCGGAAUGCUGCCAGGUAAGCAUGAAUCAUUCCUUCAGGACGAAGCCAGCUUAAGUGUGGACCAUUUUUUGAGGAUAGAGCCAGGUAAGUAUGGUACAUAUCUUCAGGAUACAGCCAGGUAAGCAUAGGCCAUUCCCUCAGGACGAAUCCAGCUAAGCAUAGACCAUUCCUUCAGGAUGUAGCUAGGUAAGCAGGAGCCAUUCUUUCAGGAUGGUGCUGUGUAAUUGUGGACCAUUCCUUCAGAAUGGAGUCAGUUAAGCAUGGACCAUUUCUUCAGGAUGCAGUAAGAUAAGCAUGGACCAUUUCUUCAGGAUGCAGCCACGUAAGCAGGGACCAUUUUUUCAGGAUGCAGCCAUUUGAGCAUGGAAAAUUUCUUCAGGAUGACUCAGU